rnacentral:rRNA from 1 species
UACGGAGGGUGCAAGCGUUAUCCGGAUUCACUGGGUUUAAAGGGAGCGUAGGUGGGCUUGUAAGUCAGUGGUGAAAUCUCCGAGCUUAACUCGGAAACUGCCAUUGAUACUAUCUGUCUUGAAUUAUCUGGAGGUAAGCGGAAUAUGUCAUGUAGCGGUGAAAUGCUUAGAUAUGACAUAGAACACCAAUUGCGAAGGCAGCUUACUACGGAUAUAUUGACACUGAGGCACGAAAGCGGUGGGAUCAAACAGG